rnacentral:lncRNA from 1 species
CAGGUGCCGCGGGCGCCCGGCCUGCGGUCCUCGCCCCCGCCUCCCGCCCCAGGAAUGAUCUCGAGCGUUGCCAGGUUGAUUCCAGAGCCCCCACUCGGGUGGGUUCUUUUGUUUCUUUGUUUUAAUGACACUUCCCAGCCCUUGGGCAUGUCACGCGCGAUUAAUUCCCUGGCUCUGUUGAAGGCAGCUGGGAUGAAAUUUCUUCUGCAUCAUCCUUUUGGGGAUAAUUGCUUCUGAUGUGACGUCAGCCGGAUUGAUUUUUUUUUUUUCUUUCUCUCUUGAAAGAGAGAGGGAGGGAGGGAGAAAGAAAGAGGGAGGGAGAGAGGGAUGAGAGAGAGGGAGAGAGAGACUGACUCACGCGUGUGCGGAGGCCGCAGGCAGACCUUAACGUCUGGAGUUCCUUCAGGGCCAAAGACGACGGGAAUGGGAGCUUAGAAGUGUGCGGCUAAGACACCAGAGUGCAUGGAAUUCUUGGCAAGUUUUUCUUAAAACAAAGCAAAACAAACCGAUGCCCUCCGCGGCGAGCCACGUAGGUGCUCCUCGCGUGCCCGAGCCCCCCGUCCAGCUGGCAGCUCUGACAAUCGAUCGCGGGGACCCAGCCGCUGCAAGGGGGCUCCAGAAGACGACGAGGAGGGGCGGGGAAGUGCGUCACCAGUGGACGGAGCAGACCUCUCGGCGGCAGCGUUGCGAGGACCUAGCUGCGACCUGGAAUCCCAUCCUCCUGUAUUUUUUCAGACUCCUUGGAAAUUAAGGAAUGCAAUUCCGCCACCAUGAUGGAAGAUAUCUCCUCAGUAUGAACACAAAGGGAAUGCUUGACUUUCAAGAAUACAAAUGUUGGUGCUGCUCAAAAGAAGCAAAAAGAUUCUGCUAAGAGCAACUUUAUACUUCUUUAAUAAAACUCAAACAUAUUUUCCUUUCCCUUGCUUU